UUUUUCAUUCGGAAAUUUGUCCCUUCCUCUGUCAUUGUCUCUCUCACACUCUAUCGUUGAUAAAUAUUUCACAAGCUUUUCCCAAUCAACAAUAUUUAUGAAUGAAUUAAUGUUUUCUUCUUCUCUAAACUUUCCCCUUUUUUCUGCCGCGUUAUCUUCUAUAUACAUGUUGACCUCAAUUAUCAAAGUCGUCACUUUGCAGGGGCCAAAGUUUUUGAGUCACAAUAAAAGGCUUAUAUAAGAUUUUACAUAUCACAAGUAUAUUCACACUGCCAAAAACCCACAACCCCUCCCCCGAACGUAUGCAUUAUAAGUGGAAUGGAGAUAGUCCUGCAUGUACUUGUAUCCUGUAAUGGUGGAGGGGGGGGGGGCAUCUUGAGUAGAAUAAAAAGUUCCUUGGUGCAGGUACAUGUAUUAAAUAGACUUGAAAUCUUCCAUUUCUAUAUAUACACAAGAAGAUGAAAAAACCACCACCCCACCCCCACCCACCCCUUAUCAAUUACGAAUAAUUUUAUUGUAUUCGAGCAUACUCAUUUUGUAAAAUUUAUUUUUUUUAAUCAUGUGUAAUACUGAUGCGAAUUUGAAAUUUUAAAAACACAUCAUCAUAGUUAUUUUUUUAUUAAUGAAAAUAGAGUAACUGUAUUUUUUCUAAACUGUUUUCAAAGAAAUUUUUCAUAUCAUAACUUUAUUUUUGUUUUAAAUUAACUCAAUAAUGUUUUUUUCUUUAUUUCUUUUUAUUUAAUUAACUUGCAAAAGGAGGGCAGCUAUUCUUAUAUAUGUUAAUAUAUUUAUAGCUACAAUUUACUUUCAUUGAUAUUAUAUGAGUGUAUGCACAAAGCUGCAAGUUAUAAUAUAUAAAAAAGAAAGAUAACAAUUUGUGCUUCUAAUUUUAAAAUCUGAAAUUUGUUAUACGUAAAUAUAAAUUGUUUAUGUUAUCUUUGUGCAAAUUUGACCUUGUUCUAAAUUGUUUUGUUUAUCUUGAAAAUAAAUACAUUUUGUUC
rnacentral:sRNA from 1 species